rnacentral:rRNA from 1 species
CAGCCGCCGCGGUAAUACGUAGGUGGCAAGCGUUGUCCGGAAUUAUUGGGCGUAAAGGGCUCGCAGGCGGUUUCUUAAGUCUGAUGUGAAAGCCCCCGGCUCAACCGGGGAGGGUCAUUGGAAACUGGGAAACUUGAGUGCAGAAGAGGAGAGUGGAAUUCCACGUGUAGCGGUGAAAUGCGUAGAGAUGUGGAGGAACACCAGUGGCGAAGGCGACUCUCCGGUCUGUAACUGACGCUGAGGAGCGAAAGCGUGGGGAGCCAACAGGAUUAGAUACCCCUGUAGUCCCUGUCUCUUAUAC